UGAGAGGGGCUGGGAUCGAGGCUAAUAGCUAGUGUCUUGUGUCUAGCUGAACCUGCAUGCACAGUCAUGGAACCAGAGAAAGCCACACAGUUUAGGUUUCAGGAUGAACAGAAGACUCUUCUACUCAAUAUUGGGAGAAAGGGAUGCAAUGUUGUUCCAAGAGUGUAUCAGCCAUGAUUGACGAGUGUGCCAUCGCUGCUAAAUGCUCUGUGGAGCAAGUGAAAGUGAGACAGAAGGGACAGGACAGAGAGUAGGGUGUGGGGGAUCAACACUGUUGACAACAGGCUUGUACAGCACUGGAUGUUCGGAAAACGCCAUAAAACGUAUCUAUAUUCCAAUUUCUCUAGCUAACUCGAACCCCUCCCUAUCUCCACACCUGAACAUUCGGUACAUGCCAGUUAAUACAGCAUUGGAUUAACGCAGAACAGAAGCGAAGAAGAAAGAAAACUACCAUUGAACCUUCCAGUUUAGACGACAGUGGAUCGUAGAAGAUAAAUGUUUGCCGGAGUAGAAAGAGGUCUGCUUUUCAGGUGUUUUGUCACAAUGUUUCCAGUUCAAUUACAGGAGAAGGAACGUCCAAGAUGAAAAAGCUAAGUGAAAAGUGGGCAACUUUCAGUGAUGAUCAGAAGGCUGAGUACGCAUCUGACGGAAUGACAUGGGUGUCCACCCUCGAUCAAAAGAAGAAGGUAGUUCGGGAACUCAUCGCCAUCACUGAGGAAAAUCUCAAGUCACUAGCUACCCUUGGGGUGGAAGGUUAUGCUGUUCUUCUUAAUGUUGCAAAUUCUGAUUGCCGCGUCCUGUAUGGAAGUAAUGUAGCCCAAGAGUAUGUGGAUACUGAGGAGGAGAAAGGCCAAGCACUUGAUGACAUGUUUUUCAAGUACAUGUGUGGCCGGAGUUACAUCACAAAGAAAAAAAAGAAAUGCAACUCGACUUAUGAUGAAAUGUUAUCAACCAUUAGACAUGAGUUCAAGCAAAGUACUGUAAGUGCAAAAGUACCGUAAGUACAUUUUGUGGGUAUAGAUGGAGGGCUUGACCACAUGACUGUGAUGUGCCAAGGUGUGUGGCUAUUUUCAAUUCUCAAUUUUAAAUUCAUCACACACAGUUGCCUUGAUCCUUAAACUAUGCGCUGUAGACUACCACCUUAGUCAAGUAGUGGGUAGUCAUCACCAAUUGUCCAAUCUAGUUAUCAGUAAUAAUUUCAAUAAUUGAACACCGUGACAUUUACUACAAAGUGAACAUUGAGCUGUUGUAUAAAUGAGUAAAUAAAUGAGUAUAGAUCUAGAUAUAUAUCUACUAGGUGAACACAAAACGUAAGUGAUAGCUCAGAAACUUAGAACAAUCUGUUUAACAUAUUGAGCAUUUCCACUGAUGGAGGGAUCUCUACCACAUGAGGAGUGUCUGAUGAUGGAGGGGUCUCUACCAAAGGAGGAGUUGUACUGCUGUUUGAUGGAGGGGUCUCUACCACAUGAGGAGUGUCUGAUAAUGGAGGGGUCUCUCUUUCCACACUGGUUUCCUUUGGAGGAGUCUGACUCUCCCCGCCCCAAAGGCCACUGCAUGGAGUCCUUGUCAACUUCCUCUAGCUGAACACACCUCUUCUCCAUGUAUAGCUAUAAAAAGGACACAAAAUUGUAUAUAUGCAUGCUGCAUAUACUAUCUAUUAAAAGUAUGCCUGAUAAAUUAUAAUUUUAUGCUCGGAAUAAUUUUAGCAUGAAUAUUGAUGAAUGUUAUAAUUAUUACACUGCAAAAAAUUUUGUUUGAAACUACAUUGCAUAGUCGUUUUAACACUAUUCUUAAACAGUUGAAUCAACUUAAUAUUUAGUAAAAUAAAAAGACAACGUUAAAAUAAUCAGUAUAUGUGGUUUUAACUUAAAAUAUUGUAGAAUCACACAAUGUCUUUUAUUUCUACAAUAAUUUACAUAGAAUCUAUUAUUGAUAUCUUAAAUCAAACUAACAAACUCAUUUUGAUUAAAUUAUAUUUGAAACUCUAUCAUGCAGCAUGUUAGAAUACAAUAUAUAAAUUUAGAUUUAACAAUAAUAAUAUUUGUUCUAACACAGGCACACAUAUAAUUAUAUACAAUCAAUAUUUUUAACAAUCCAUUUAUAAUAGCAUGAGUGAUGUGAAAUUAUAUACAGUCAUGAACAUUGUAAGGAAAUGUACAAGUUUGCAUAGAACCAUAGAUAUUAGAGGACCUAGAAACUAAAAUGAAAUUGUGGGCGUGGCUAUGCUAAGUCUAAGAUUGCGCAUGCUCAGUAGAUCUAGAGCUGUGAAACCAUGUGCUCCAAGAAAAGAGAAGAGGAUUACCCUUUCUAUAUGCUGGACAUUUGCUGCUAUAAAUCUGACUGUGAUGAUACUUCUGUGAGAGGUAUGACUGUGACUACACCAAGUGGAUGAUGAUACUUUUAGUUCAGUGAGAGGUAUGACUGUGACUACACCAAGUGGAUGAUGAUACUUCUGUGAGAGGUGAGGGACAAACAUAAAGUGUCUAGUUUUCUGAAAUUCCUUAAACUGGCAAGCUUGACAUGCGAGAACAAACGAAACAAACAGACGAAUGGAUAGAAGUGGCGUCAUUGUUGGAUAUCCUCUCGGUGAUUGAUAAUACACGGUGGACUCUGUGUGGUCAAGAGUGAUCGGUCUGCUAUACUUGUGAGUCCAGUAUGUUACACCAAGAAGAACUAUUCCUUGGGCUAAUUAAUUUAAAACUGUCCUUCUAAUUUAACAUUGUAUACCAUUGUCUCACUCAGUUGUCACGAACGUUUCCUAUCACUAUUUUUGUAUUAACAUGUUAUUUAUUGAAUUGAAUAAUAAUUGUUAUACCGA